rnacentral:rRNA from 1 species
UACGAAGGGGACUAGCGUUGUUCGGAAUCACUGGGCGUAAAGCGCACGUAGGCGGAUAUGUCAGUCAGGGGUGAAAUCCCGGGGCUCAACCUCGGAACUGCCUUUGAUACAGCAUAUCUUGAGUCCGAUAGAGGUGGGUGGAAUUCCUAGUGUAGCGGUGAAAUGCGCAGAUAUCAGGAAGAACACCCGUGGCGAAGGCGGCUCUCUGGGACGGUACUGACGCUGAGACGCGAAAGCGUGGGGAGCGAACAGG